UUCAGCUAUGGUGACAUGGUUCCAAAGACCAUCGCAGGCAAGAUUUUUGGCUCAAUCUGCUCUUUGAGUGGAGUCUUGGUCAUCGCACUGCCUGUUCCCGUAAUCGUCUCGAAC
rfam:Lepisosteus oculatus linkage group LG8, whole genome shotgun sequence.